GGGGGCGAACCAGGAUCGACCGGAUGUCAGAGAUGUGUGGUGGCGUGCCGAGGUUGGUCAGCAGGCCUCGUAAAAAGCCGACCGAAACUUAACUGCCAACAACACUGUUGGUCUCCGUCUCGCUGCCUGAAAAACAGCGACGGCCUCGCGCCGAGUCUUCUCCCGAGAGACCCGGCCGGGGACGCCAAUUCGGGAUCGCCUGAGCCUAACUUCUUGUUGCGGCUUGGGUUAAACUCAUGACGAGAUAAGCCGAAUGGGAUCCUGCCGCUGGGAGCCCAGACGCCGACAAUCAAAACAGCGGCUACGCACGUAGAGGCCCUCAUCGACGCUUCUCGGGACGCGGGUGCAAUUCCCGCCGCCUCCAC
rnacentral:tmRNA from 1 species